UACGAGGACGAACGCUGGCGGCGUGCCUAACACAUGCAAGUCGAGCGGAGAUAUAUUGAAGGUUACCGGAUAUAUAUCUUAGCGGCGGACGGGUGAGUAACGCGUGGGCAACCUGCCUUAUACAGGGGGAUAACACAGGGAAACUUGUGCUAAUACCGCAUAAUAUCAUUGUAUGGCAUCAUACGAUGAUCAAAGGAGCAAUCCGGUAUGAGAUGGGCCCGCGUCCGAUUAGCUAGUUGGUGGGGUAACAGCUCACCAAGGCGACGAUCGGUAGCCGAACUGAGAGGUUGAUCGGCCACAUUGGGACUGAGACACGGCCCAGACUCCUACGGGAGGCAGCAGUGGGGAAUAUUGCGCAAGUUACGGGGGGAAACCCUGACGCAGCAACGCCGCGUGAAGGAUGAAGGCCUUCGGGUUGUAAACUUCUUUGAUUGGGGAAGAAGAAAGUGACUGUACCCAAAAAACAAGCCACGGCUAACUACGUGCCAGCCGCAGC
rnacentral:rRNA from 1 species